rnacentral:rRNA from 1 species
CCUACGGGAGGCAGCAGUAGGGAAUCUUUCACAAUGGGCGAAAGCCUGAUGGAGCAACGCCGCGUGCAGGAUGAAGGCCUUCGGGUUGUAAACUGCUUUUAUAAGCGAGAAAUAUGAUGGUAACUUAUGAAUAAGGAUCGGCUAACUACGUGCCAGCAGCCGCGGUCAUACGUAGGAUCCGAGCAUUAACCGGAGUGACUGGGUGUAAAGAGUUGCGUAGGUGGCAUAAUAAGUAGCUAGUGAAAUCUGGUGGCUCAACCAUUCAGACUAUUAGCUAAACUGUUAAGCUCGAGACCGUUAGGGGUAACUGGAAUUUCUAGUGUAGGAGUGAAAUCCGUAGAUAUUAGAAGGAACACCAAUAGCGUAGGCAGGUUGCUGGGACGGUUCUGACACUAAGGCACGAAAGCGUAGGGAGCAAACGGGAUUAGAUACCCGUGUAGUC